rnacentral:rRNA from 1 species
GCAAACCCUGACGGAGCAACGCCGCGUGUGGGAGUACGGCCUUCGGGUUGUAAACCACUUUUCUCAGGGAAGAAGGACUGACGGUACCAGAGGAAUAAGCCUCGGCUAACUCCGUGCCAGCAGCCGCGGUAAGACGGAGGAGGCAAGCGUUAUCCGGAAUUAUUGGGCGUAAAGCGUCCGCAGGCGGUUAUUUAAGUCUGCUGUUAAAGCCCACAGCUCAACUGUGGAUCGGCAGUGGAAACUGAAUAACUUGAGAGCGGUAGGGGUAGAGGGAAUUCCCGGUGUAGCGGUGGAAUGCGUAGAUAUCGGGAAGAACACCAGUGGCGAAGGCGCUCUACUGGGCCGCGACUGACGCUGAGGGACGAAAGCUAGGGGAGCG